AGAGAACGGAUUACCCGCGACAGGACGGAAAGACACCAUGGAGCAUCACUGUAGCUUGAUAUUGAGUAUCUUUUGAACAUGUACAGGAUAGGUAGGAGCCAAGGAAGGCAGGACGCUAGUUUUGCUGGAGGCAAUGUUGGGAUACUACCCUUGUUUGAAGGAUGCUCUAACCUCGACCUGUAAGCCAGGUCAGGGACAGUGUCAGGUGGGCAGUUUGACUGGGGCGGUCGCCUCCUAAAGUGUAACGGAGGCGCUCAAAGGUUCCCUCAGAAUGGUUGGAAAUCAUUCGCAGAGUGUAAAGGUAUAAGGGAGCUUGACUGCGAGAGAAACAGCUCGAGCAGGGACGAAAGUCGGACUUA
rnacentral:rRNA from 1 species